ACGGAGUUAGCCGGUGCUUAUUCCUAAAGUACCGUCAUUAUCUUCCUUUAGAAAAGAGCUUUACGACCCAAAGGCCUUCUUCACUCACGCGGUAUUGCUGCGUCAGGCUUUCGCCCAUUGCGCGAAAUUCCCC
rnacentral:rRNA from 1 species